GUUCAAUUUCUGUAAGACUGAAAACAUAGGGACAUGUGACCGAAACAACUUACACGGCAAUGAUAUAGACGUGUAUGGAUCGCCAUUGACCUAUUGCCCCUUUUCCAUUAGUACCUAAUCCAUUCAGGUUGUCUGCCAGAGCUGGUUCUAUGGCUGUAACAGAAUAGACAAACAAGAAGACAGUUCUCACAAUAACUUGCUGAGAAGCCAGUUCUCACACUCUGUCUCUAACGCAGAAUCCCAUGGCUCCAUGACCAAGUAGGAGCAAGAAUGAACAGAAUGGGUUCAAGGAUUGACCCUUGGGAACACCACAAAUAACAAUGUGUGUUUUGCACUGUUCUGUCAAUGAGGAGUGAUAAUAACUGUCCUAAACCACCUGUAAUGGAACCAGUUUCAUCCAGUGGGUUUCUGCUGCCACCUACUAGCAGAGGUAGUUCCUGCAGGUUCUUACCAGCUAGAAGAAGAUUUUAUACGUAUCUCAUUAAACCUGCUGAAAAGGAAACUGGACUGCUUAUUAGUGGAUGGAUGGGAAAGUGUUAGCUACCUGAAUAGCUGAGUAUGUGUGAAGGACUACAAUGCUCAGUGAGGCCAGGACAGUAAAAAGACGUUCCACGUGAACCAUGGACAACGAAGUCAAACAACAAAAGCCAAGUGAUGCACAUUCGACGUCAAGACCUCGAAUCAGGGCCUGCAUAUAACAUUCGCUCAACAGUUUCUUGCUCAUCUGUAAGCUCAUCGACCAGUUUAGCUGCAGCUAAAGCUUUUGGCCCUAAGGCGGAAGCAACCAAAGCUAAACUUGAAUUUCUAGAUAGAAAGACUGACAUUCAACUACAAAAUACAAAACUUGAAACGUCAUUACGUGCCCUCAGCUUGCAAAAACAAAUUAAAGCAGUGAAUGCCGAAGCAGCUGUCUUGGAGGCAGCUGAUUUUGGAGCAGAGCAAAUUAGGGAGCAAUCAGGCUACAUUGCCUUAACCAAACAUGCACUAGCAAGGACAGAGGUCUAUGUAAGAGAGCAGUCAUUGCACGCCAGUCAGUAUGUUUACAACCAGGAAAAGACAGUCUGACUUCCCUAUCCUAUUCAGCCUCUCGGAGACGACACGCAGGCUUAUGCAGAGCCAACAGACUUUCCUCCCCUUCCGCUGGAUAGGAUGGGACACUAGAUCAAACAACAAUCUCCUACUUUCAGCCCAAAUCCUGUUAGGGGGGGAACACUGCAGAACACUAACUACCCUACAAGUAAAAUCCCUCAAUCCUCAUCUCUAAACCAGCUGACUUUGCAGUCGAAACCAGGAAUACCAGAAGGUAACACUCUUGAUCUAGCAAUGUUUUUAGCUCGUAGUCAAGUAACAACAUCUGGCUUAACUAAAUUUGACAACACUCCAGAACAUUACCAAGCUUGGCGAGCUUCAUUCAUCAGUGCCAAAGAGCCACUGGGACAUAGAGAUCAACCUCAUGGUAAAAUGGCUUGGUAAAGAGUCAAGUGAGCAUGCUUCUAGGAUUAGAGCAGUUAAUGUUACACAGCCUCUUCUGGGGCUUAAAGUGAUCUGGACCAGACAUGAUAAACUAUAUGGCUCUCCAGAAGCUAUUGAACAUGCCCUUUUCUCCAGAGUGGAAGCUUUCCCAAAAAUCCAGUCUAAAGACAGUCAUAAGCUACAGGAACUAGCUGAUCUUCUCCAAGAGCUAGAGAUUGCAAAGCAAUAUGCUAAUUUGAAGGGAUUAGCUUAUUUGGACACUGCCAAGGGCAUAAACCCAGUUGUAGAGAAGUUACUAUAUCAACUUCAGGAACGCUGGAUGUCAUGAGGUUCCAAAUACAAAAGAGGAUAUGAUGUGUCCUUUCCACCAUUCUCCUUCUUCAGAGAUUUCGUUGUCAAAGAGGCUGAGGAUAGGAAUGAUCCCAGCUUCCAUCUCUCUCUAGUCACCAGUACGUACAGGAAAGAAAGGUAUGGCCCUUCAAGACAUCCUAUCACUGUCAAUAAAACAAGUAUAGCACAGAACCAGACAUCCAUAUCUGCCAAAGCUACAGACAAGAACCUGCAUCCUGAAAGGCAUUGCCUUAUCCAUGACAAACCUCACCCGCUAAUUAGAUGCAGAGGAUUUCUUAAAAUGCCUCUUGAGGACCGUAAGAAACUCCUUAAGGAGCAUAUGAUCUGUUUCCGAUGCUGUGCUUCCACAAAUCAUAUGGCAAAAAACAAGCCUCAGUGAGAUGUUCAGAAUGUGCAAAUGAAAGACAUGUCACGGCACUUCUCCCUAUUAGUACAAAUACAAAAGUGUUUCUUGGGAAUGAUGGAAAAAAGCUUCUUUCGAGAUGACUCCAAUAGCUGGAGCGCCCCUCUACCAUUCCGUCAUCCUCGUCGCAGGCUCCCUGAUAAUAAAGAGUAUGCAGUUUAAACAUUUUACCUCACUCGAACGCACUCUCCAGAGAACCCCUGAAAUGAAAAGGCACUUCUUUGAGUUCAGGCAAAGACUGUUUGACAAUCAUCAUGCAGAACUUGCACCCCCACUUGAAGAAGAGAAAGAGCGCUGGUAUUUACCCACUUUUGGAAUUUAACAUCCGCACAAACAUGAUCAAAUCCAUGUUGUAUUUGAUUAUUUGGCACAAUAUGAUGGUGUCUCUCGUAAUGAUGUCCUACUGCAGGGUCCUGACCUUAACAACAGCCUCCUUGGAGUUCUUAGAGAUUCUGAACAGGUCCAGUUGCAGUAAUAGCUGACAUAGAGCAGACGUUCCACUGCUUCGUGGUUCAAGAGGACUGCAAAGAUAUGCUCCGCUUUCUGUGGUAUUGUGACAAUCAUCCAAACAACGAUAUGGUUGAAUACCACGAGAGUCCACAUAUUUGGAAACAGCCCAUCUCCUGCGAUUGCCAUCUAUGGACUCAGAAGGGCAGCAAAGGAAUUGGAGCAGUUUUGUGAUAGCAAAACUGUCCAGAUGAGGAAGAGGAAUUUCUACAUGGAUGAUGGUUUGCUGUCAUUCACCACUGAAUCAGAGGCUACAAAAAGAGUGGAGCAACUUCAGGAAAUGUUGGCCAUCUCCAACUUGCGCCUACAUAAGAUAGCAUCUAAUGCUGUGGAUGUUAUAAAUUAUUUCCCAGUUGAAGACAGAGCAAAGGACAUUAAAGACUUAGACCUGUUUAUAGAUGAUCUGCCAGCACAAUUAAGUCUUGGUGUCAUUUGGAACAUUAUGACUGACAUAUUCACAUUUAAGGUCCUGGAAAAUCCCAAAGCUUUCACAAGAUGUGGGGUUGUCCACAGUUAACAGCUUUUUUGACCCCCUUAGGCUUUUUGGCACCAAUCACUAUCAAUCAAAAAAAUGAUCUUCAGAGACAUUACAUCUGAAAAUGUAGAAUGGGAUGCAUCUUUGCCUCAAACAAAAUACGACAAAUGGAGUAGAUGGCAAGAAUCUUUGUCAGCCCUUAAAGAGCUGCACAUUCCACGCACAUAUGCCUCAUUUCCAGUUGCACAAGCCAAGAUUAAAGAGGUCUUUAUCUCCUCAGAUGCAUCAGUCUGAGCAAUCUCAGCGGUUGCAUAUCUCAUAUCUCAGAACUACCCAUGAAGAUGGACAUUGUGAAGCAGGUUUUAUCUUGGGUAAAGCGAAGCUUGCCCCUCAACCUGAGCUAACUGUCCCUAGAUUAGAGCUCUGUUCAGCCGUCCUGGGGGUGAAAGUUGCUGAAGCCGUUAUUCACGAAAUUGACAUGAAACUAGAUGCAGUCAAAUAUUUCACUGAUAGCAAGGUCGUAUUAGGCUACAUUCUACAUUCGCAAUGAGAAAAGACGAUUUUAUGUAUUCAUCAGUAACAGCGCAUCAGACAGGUAUCCCAGCCUAGCCUAUGGAGGUUUGUGCCCACAGAACUGAAUCCAGCCGACUGUGGUUCAAGGUCAGUGGCAGCAGCAGAGCUUGUCAACAUGCUGUGGCUUACUGGACCGAGUUCUCUCACAGAACCUAACGGGUCAGGAAUCAGUUCUGAAGAGCAGCACAUGCUCAUUAACCCAGACAAUGACAAAAACAUUCGAGCAGACGCCACCAACAUGGCCCAAGAGACUUCCUUUCCAAAAUUGCUCUCAAGCUGUUUUCAACUUUAUUUAAAGUGGAAAUCUCUCCUGAAAGCAGUCGCCAGACUUAUCCAUAUUGCUGGAACUUUCUCACACAAUAACAGUGACAGUUGUCCUGGCUGGCAUCAUUGUAACAAUGUAUCUCUAACAGAAAUGGACAAAGCAGAACGCUUGAUCGUUUGCACAAUACAGCAAGAGUGCUACUCACAAGACGUUUCGGCCAUUGAGAUGAUGAAAGGGCUCCCUGAAAACAGUCCUAUCCGCGGACUUGAUCCAUUCAUUGAGGGUGUCCUGAGAGUAGGAGGACGCUUACGUAAUUGUCACCUGCAUAAGAACAAAACAAACCCUCUCAUAAUACCCAAUAAACAUCAUAUAGCCACCCUGCUUGUAUGCUAUUAUCACCAGAAAGUGAAGCACCAAGGAAGGCAUUUGACCGAAGGACCCAUACGUGCCAGUGGCAUAUUGUUAGUUGGAGGAAAAUGGCUCAGCAGCAGUAUCAUUCACAAAUGUGUUCAUUGUAGGAAACUACGUGCCUGGUCUGAAAACCAGCUUAUGUCUGACUUACCUGAAGAGAGACUCCACCCUAUGUGGGCCUGGAUGUCUUUGGUCCUUGGGAAAUCGUAACGAGACGCACACGUGAAGGUCAAGUAAACAAUAAGAGGUGGGCAGUGCUGUUUACUUGUAUGUCCACCAGAGCCAUCCACAUAGACGUUGUGGAAACGAUGAGUUCUUCUUCUUUAUUAAUGCCCUAUGAAGGUUGUUCUUGAUUCGGGGACCUGCCAAACAACUUAGAUCCGACAGAGGAACAAACUUUAUCGGUGCCUCCAAUGAGUAAAAACUGCCAUCACAGAACCCUGAUUCAAUCAUCAAAGACUAUUUGAAUGAACAGAGAUGCACCUGGGAGUUUAACCCACCACACGCGUCUCACAUGGGUGGGGCAUGGGAACGAAUGAUUGGGGUUUCACGUCGUAUUUUAGAUGCCUUGCUUCUUGAUGUCAAGCAUUCCCAGCUCACUCAUGAAAUCCUGGUGACUCUCAUGGCUAAGGUGACUGCCAAAGUCAAUGCCAGUCCCCUGGUUCCUAUUUCUACUGACCCAGAAGCACCUUUAGUUUUAACCCCAGCAAUGCUUCUGACACAGCCAGCCUCCCCUAGUAUGGAUAUUUAAUAUGGUGACAUUCCUUAAGGAUGCCAGGAAGGGACUGUAAUGGAACCAGUUUUAUCCAGUGAGUUUCUGCUGCCACCGACUGACAGAGGUAGUUCCUGCAGGCUCUUACCAGGAAGAAGAGUUAAGUUUCAUUUUCUCUCUCUGCCAUGUGUUGUAACUAGGAGCAUGUUGCUGUUUUCUGUUCUUUGAUUUGAGUGCAAAGCGGUGGAGGACCGAUCCUGACAAAAUUAAAAAUAAAAGCAGAAAUAUAUA